CCGCAAGGCUAAAACCCAAAGGAAUUGACGGGGGCUUACACAAGCGGUGGAGCAUGUGGUUUAAUUCGAAACAACGCGCAAAACCUUACCAAUCCUUGACAUAUGAAAAACCAGGGUGUUUACCCGCUCUGUCUCUUUAUACAGGUGCUGCAUGGCUGUCGUCAGUUCGUGGUGUGAGCUGUUGGGUUAAGUCCCAGAACGAACGCAACCCUCCUUUGAAAUGAAGGUUUACCUUUUUCAAAGACUGCCAAGGAUAUCUUGGAGGAAGGUGAGGAUGACGUCAAGUCCGCAUGGCCCUUAUGGGUUGGGCUACACACGUGCUACAAUGGGAAUGACAAAAGGAGGCAACAUGGCAACAUUGAGCAAAUCCCAAAAAGUUUCCUUAGUUCGGAUUGUUCUCUGCAACUCGAGAACAUGAAGUUGGAAUCGCUAGUAAUCGUAGAUCAGCACGCUACGGUGAAUUUGUAUCUAAGCCUUGUACACACCGCCCGUCACACUCUGAAAAUUUUCAUGCCUUGAAGCAAAAGAAGUUCACCAAGAACACACAGCGCAAUUAAAAAAAAACAUCUUCCCUUUUUUUUCUGUGUCUUUGUUGGAACCUUUUCUAGAGUUAGGGAGGUGAUUGGAGUG
rnacentral:rRNA from 1 species